CACUGGGUAGCUCAGUUGGCAGAGCAGAAUUGGACUAGUAUUCCAAAGGUCGUAUAACUUCGAUUCCCACCGUGG
rnacentral:tRNA from 1 species